AUGCCACAUACGCCACGCCAGCGCUUGCAGCCCCGCGCCCCGGUUUGGUCAGAGAUGGAGACGCGGAACUUCCUGGCCCUCUGGGGCGAGCUGCUGAUUCUCAGGUGGAUCGAAAACCGGCCCCCCAACAGCGACAUCUACGAGGACCUCUCGGCCCAGAUGAUCGCCAGGGGUCACGAGCGCAACGCCUCGCAGUGUCGCAACCGGGCCCGGGACCUGAAGCGCAGCUACCGGAGAGCCAAGGACGCGCAGGUGUGCGCCGGCGCCGAGCCGGUUUCCUGCCGCUACUUCCGAGAGCUGGACCGGAUGUUUGGCGGAGAAAUGGACGGCGUGGCGAACCGGAGCCUGCCGAGCAUGGACGGGUCUGCCCGGGUGGUGGUGAAAACGGAAGAGGCGGAGGACAUGGAGGCGCAGGUCUCCGAAGAGGAGGGCAACCAGAUGACGCCGCCAAACACGCUCUCGAGCAUGGACGCCGACACGGACACCGAAACGGAACCGAACCUCGGGGUCUCGCGAGAGCUAGUGGCCGGCGACCCGGAUGUGAUUGAAACCAAAAUAGGGGAGGAGUGCCCCAGUGACAAAUCUCUGCCUUUAUACGGGCAACCGGUGGCUGGCCCCAGCGAAGAUGGGCACCAUUCUGUGGCUGGCAGAGGCAGGCGGGACAACUCCCUGGGGCGCCCCCUGACGACAGCAGAGAGGAUGGCGUCCAUGCGGGAGAGGAAGAGGCGGUCCCAUGAAGAAAUGAUGCACGAGAUCAUGACCGACUACCGGCGGACCUGGGAGACGAUGGAGGCGCUUCACGAGAGGGGCGAGAUCAGCGCCGGGGAGUUCCGUGAGGCGAUGCUGAGGGAGAUGCUUCUGGACAGAGAGGCCCGGACCCGCGAGGCCCAGCUAGACCGCGAAGCCAGGGCAAGGGAGGCCCAGCUGGAUAGAGAGGCGAGGGCCAGGGACAGCCAUCUGGAGAGGGAGAUUAGGAUUAAGGAGCUCAACAUGAUUGAGGCGGAGCUUCGGCGCACAAGGGAUAUCCUCCACCCCAUGGUUGACGCUGUGGUGUCCGUCGCGGAGGUCCUGCGUUCGACCAGCAGUAUACAACGGCAGCCUCGCCAGGCACAGCAGAGUGGAGGGGGUAACUUCUUGGAAUUGGAGGGUAGCAAAUAAUUAUCCCCCCCCUUUUGUGAGGGGUGGGCAUUAGUAUAUAUAGUUACCGUGCUGGGCAGAAAGGAGGGGGUAGUAAGGAGGGGGAAAACUGUUGCAACCCUGGAAGCCAAGACCCACUUUUGGGGCAAGUACUCUCCGGUGGGAGAGCCUCAGCAGAGAUUUAACAUGUCAAAACCCUUUCAAAUGAAUUCCAAAAUGUCCCUUCUUAAUAGUUCUCUCCAAAGUAUCUCGCUUCCCUAGCACAAAGAUCAAUCAUACAUUUAGUAAGUUAUAAACUGGUUUACUUACAAAAUUCUUCAAAGGUCAGAUUCAUGUGCUUUUCCAUACAGCAAUAAAAACAAAGUUGCAAAGGCAGUAAACUGUUGCUUGGUUACAAAAUGGCAAAAAGUUCCUAAGUAAUUGCUAUAUAAAAAAACACUAGUUUCAGACUCCAUUCUUGUCUGAAGCAAAAGAGGCUGUUUAAAACCAUACACAGCUGAGCUGGAGCACCCAGCUCAGGCCUCCUCACACAUGGGUGAGAGAAUGGCUCCAUCAGGAAGGUCUAAACACUAAAAACAAGUCAGUUUAUUCUAAUAAUUUAUUAUUUAUGCCCCGCCCAUCUGUCUGGGUUUCCCCAGCCACUCUGGGUUGCUCCCAACAGAAUAUUAAGAACACGGUAAAACAUCAAACAUUAAAAACUUCCCUAAACAGGGCUGCCUUCAGAUGUCUUCUAAAAGACAGAUGGUGAGUGUAUUUCCUUGACAUCUGAUGGGAGGGCGUUCCACGGGGCGGGCGCCACUACCAAGAAGGCCCUCUGCCUGGUUCCGUGUAACCUCGCUUCUUGCAAUGAGGGAACGCCAGAAGGCGCUCGGAGCUGGAUCUCAGUUUCUGGGCAGAACAAUGGGGGUGAAGAUGCUCCUUCAGGUAUACUGGGCUGAGGCCGUUUAGGCCACUUUAAAGGUCAGCACCAACACUUUGAAUUGCUCUCUGAAAUGUACUGUGGGAUGUUUCCUCUAGUGUGGUAGCGACAAGCUCAGCCAAAUUUUGCCUCCCUUCCACUACUUGCAUCUGUCCACAAGAUAGAGAAAUCAUGUAAUUUGGUGUGGGUUUUGUUUUUGUUUUUUUAAAAGCCUAGAAAAAGUGUUAACUUGUUGCUCCGAAUCUUCACUUUUCCUACAGCCGAGUUAAAGGCCUGGGGCCUCGUGGUAUCUAUGGGGAUCUCUCUCUCUUGGUUCUGUACCAAGAGCAAAUCACUGGAAUGCAAAAUACAUUCAGGUAUCCCCAAGCUGGACCUUUAUGUGUCUGUGUUAUUUGUCGCUCGUUCCUUUACCAAGUAAUGGGGAUGGACCUAGAGGGAAGAAGUCUUGCUUUCCAGCCUUGAUUGUCUGCUUCUCAGAGGCAAAAGACACUGUUGCAGUAUUCCUUUUAUAGGGGCAGGGUCUGUCUCUCUCCCCCCAUCCACCCCACAUGUCAACUGUGGCUUUCCUCAGACUAAUAAUGAUGUUUGAAUGUGUGGGUUGGUGUGAUACUGUACAGCUGUGAGAAAUGGGGUGGUCUGAAAGUUGUGCCAUUGUGCCCUGAAGCUGCCAGAGCAGGGGUAGCUUUCCUGUGGCCGCCCAGAUGUUGUAGGACUCCCAAAUCCCAUCAGCCCCAGCGAGCAUAACCAGUGAUCAGAGGUGUAGUUCGGCAACAUCUGGAGACCUACAGGUGAUAUCCUUAAAAGCUCAUUUACAGUGGUACCUUGGUUCCCAAACUUAAUCCAUUCCGGAAGUCCGUUCCAAAACCAAAGCGUUCCAAAACCAAGGCGCGCUUUCCCAUAGAGAGUAAUGCAAAAUGGAUUCAUCUGUUCCAGCCUUUUAAAAACAACCCCUAAAACAGCAAAUUAACAUGAAUGUUACUAUCUAACAAGACUGUUGAUCCAUAAAAUGAAAGCAAUAAACAAUGUACAGUGGUACCUCAGGUUAAGUACUUAAUUCGUUCUGGAGGUCCAUUCUUAACCUCAAACUGUUCUUAACCUGAGGUACCACUUUAGGUAAUGGGGCCUCCCACUGCCGCUGCACAAUUUCUGUUCUCAUCCUGAAGCAAAGUUCUUAACCCGAGGUACUAUUUCUGGGUUAGCGGAGUCUGUAACCUGAAGCGUAUGUAACCUGAAGCGUAUGUAACCCGAGGUACCACUGUACUGCAGUCACACAAUCAAUCAGUAGCAGAACAGGGUUCCAAACAGUCACAAAAACAAAACAAAAAAGAGCCAUGAAAACAAAAACACAAAAUAAAUAGCAAAAACAGACAGACCUCAGCGCAGCACUCGAAACGGAAGCGUGGCACUCAAAAUGGAGCAUGUUCAGCUUCCGAAAAAAGUUCGCAAACCGGAACACUUACUUCCUGGUUUGCAGUGUUUGGGUUCUAAGUUGUUUGAGUACCAAGGCAUUUGAGAACCAAGGUACCACUGUAUUCCCAUUGCACUCCUGCCACAGUAAGUCCCAAUUAUUGCAGUGGGAACAGGGCACAUAUUAUUAACUUGAAAUUGAAGCCCAUGGAGGCUUUGGAAGUAAUGGGUGGAUGGUGCCCUAAGAUAUCUAUCCAUCCCUUAAUGCUAUGGAGAUGGACUUGGCAGUGCACAGUAUUCAUGCCUCAAUAGAUCUCAAGUUGCCACAGGAGGGAUGAUGAGCAGCACUCCUUACGGGUGACCUUGGGAGGCAGUCAGCACCGUGCAUAGAUUUUUGCUCCUCUCUGCAACUAGCUGAAACAGAAUCAGUGGUGCAUAAUAAUAAUAUAUCUUGUGAGUUCAGCUGUGAGCAUGAGACUCAAGAAGGAAGAAGAAGAAGAAAGAAGGUUGAUUUGAAUC
rnacentral:lncRNA from 1 species